AUGGAUGUCAACCCCGUGGUGACUUGCUGGAACAUUCAUGGUUUGAACAAUCCGGCAAAGAGGAAAGCGGUGAGAGAGUUCUUGGCUUCGGUGAAGCCUAACCUAGUGUGUUUGCAGGAAACAAAAUUGGAGGUUGUAGACCAUUUUCUCUUAAUGCAAUGGUGUGGCCUGUCGUUGGACGGCUUUGCUUACUUGCCGGCUGAUGACACGAGAGGAGGGAUUCUACUGGCAUGGGAUACCACGGUGCUGCAGGUAGAUAGCAUCCAGAGUGAUGCGAAUUUCCUCACGGGUUUGGUUCACCCUAGAGCUGGUGAGGAUUGGUGGAUUUCGGUGGUUUAUGGUCCCCAAGGUAAUGAUGCGAUAUCCCAGUUUCUGGUGGACCUGGCGGCUAGGCGUGCUCUAUGCCCUGGUCCUUGGAUGGUGCUUGGGGACUUUAACAUGAUCUUGCGAGCAAACGAGAAAAGCAACGCUAACAUAAACUGCAUGAUGAUGAACAAAUUCCGGAGCUUUGUCGACAGUUGUGAGCUAAAGGAGCUUUAUAUGCAUGGCGUAGAUUCACCUGGUCUAGUGAAAGAGAAAACCCUACGCUCACUAGAAUUGACAGUGUAUUGGUGUCGGUUGCUUGGGAGCUCGCAUGGCCAGACUGUUUGA
rnacentral:rRNA from 1 species